CAUCAACCAUGUUCCCGAUAUAUAGAAGUCUCAUUGCCUCUGGCCUUCGUAUACUUAUUUACAGCGGUGAUGUGGAUGCAGUUGUUCCAGUGACUAGCACUCAAUAUUCCAUUGAUGUGUUAAAAACCUUGGCAUCCUUGGACCGAUGAUGGAGAAUUUCAAGCAGCGGGAUAUAAAGUGGUAUAUGAUGAAUUGACUUUCGCAACAGUUCUAGGCGCUGGUCAUCAAGUUCCAAUAAUUCAGCCGUGCAGAGUUUUGGCCUUAUUUAAGAUGUUUUUAGCAGGAAAUUAAAGUUGGAAUGCACGUGAAUUUGACUGUUAACUACUACUAUUAUUCGUGUUAAGUAAGAUUAAGUUGCUUCGAAUCAA